UAAAAUCCUAGGAACAAUUAAAUCCUAGAAACCAUGGGAUCCUAGGAACCAUGGAAAAUGCCUAAGGAGUGUGCUGGAUAUUGAUUAUCCUUGGGUACUAUCAGAUGGGAGCAAGCCAGGGUGGCACCAUGGUGACACUGCAGCCGGGCAUGGCCCUGUGACACUCCUGGCUGCUGGCAUUUCAGCCAUGGCAGAUGUCCAGCAAAUUUUCCAUCUCAAACACUCUCCAGGACUCCUCAAGGAGCAGAACCUCACUGCCUUUGGCCAUGGAAAAGGGAAGGGCUGGGAAUGAUUCCUGGCUGGUGACAGAAGCAAAAACAGGUUAUUGGCAAGGAAGGCAAUUAAACAGCCUGAUGUAAUAGCACCUAAUUAACUUGCAAGCCUGAAUAUUCCUCGUUGUAAUGACAUCCCAAUACUCGGGUUUCUGAUUGCCCAGCACAUAUUAAAGUAUGGAUAUCACA